GACGAACGCUGGCGGCGUGCCUAAUACAUGCAAGUCGAACGCUGAAGGAGGAGCUUGCUCUUCUGGAUGAGUUGCGAACGGGUGAGUAACGCGUAGGUAACCUGCCUGGUAGCGGGGGAUAACUAUUGGAAACGAUAGCUAAUACCGCAUAACAGUAGAUGUUGCAUGACAUUUACUUAAAAGGUGCAAUUGCAUCACUACCAGAUGGACCUGCGUUGUAUUAGCUAGUUGGAGGGGUAACGGCUCACCAAGGCGACGAUACAUAGCCGACCUGAGAGGGGGAUCGGCCACACUGGGACUGAGACACGGCCCAGACUCCUACGGGAGGCAGCAGUAGGGAAUCUUCGGCAAUGGACGGAAGUCUGACCGAGCAACGCCGCGUGAGUGAAGAAGGGUUUCGGAUCGUAAAGCUCUGUUGUAAGAGAAGAACGAGUGUGAGAGUGGAAAGUUCACACUGUGACGGUAUCUUACCAGAAAGGGACGGCUAACUACGUG
rnacentral:rRNA from 1 species